UGGGGAGAUGGUGACAAAAGGAGAAGCGAAAGCGAGCACUCUGCCUCCACUGUCUCCGUCUCCAACUUGCCCUACUCUUUCACCAACUCUCAGCUGGAGGAGACAUUCAGCGACGUCUGACCAAAUAGGGGGUGCUGGUUACCAAGAAGGGGUCAACUGAGCACCGUACGUGGUUUUGGUUAUGUUCAAUUGUAAGUAAAGUCCAUGACUGCAAAAGAGCUAAAACAACUUUGUAUUGAUGCUGCAACCUCACGAGCUACAAAACAAAAACCUGCGAUCCAACAGGAUAAAGUUCUUGGAGGAUGUGAAGAAAGGAAAGCUUGUUGCAAAGAAUUUCUCGCGUGGAGCUGCUUUCGUUGAGUUUACAGAGCAUCUGAAUGCACUUGUGGCCUUGAGAGUUUUGAACAACAAUCCUGAAAUUUUGGUCCUGAGCAUCGCCCAAUUGUGGAGUUUGCACUUGAGAAUGUUAAAAAAUUGAAUAUACGAAAUGCUAAGAUACAAGCACAGCAGCAUGCAGCUCAUCGUAAUCGGGAAAACGUGCAUCAAAAUGAAGGCUCAAAUAGACCAGAUACUCAUCCAAGCAAGUAGUCCAAAAACUCGAA